GCUACUUCACAGUGACAAAAUGAAGGCGGGGGGAUUUCUGGAUCGUUUAUGAACUCAGAAAGCAGAGGGAGGAAGAUUAGAUAAAAGCACAAGAUCUCUAGGGGAGAAGGACCAGCGAGUAUCCAUCAGGACGAUUUGCUGCUGAGCAGGAUGCAGUGGGUUCGGGUUUUUUAUGACGGCACCCUCCUCUUUCCGGAUGUUCUCCUUCAUCUUCUGUGGGGUGACAGAACUUGCACUGGACUGCAGCUCAUGCCUCUGCUGGCCCAGUCCCACCUAUGAUUACAAAGGACUUCAAUACCCAUAGGCCUUCACUGGUCAUGCUGAUUCCAUUUACAAAAAUGCUUUCUUCACGUGAGGAAGACCAGCGAGUCCAGCUUUUGACGCCCAUUGAUGCGGAUGAGCUGAAGCAGGCUCGAGUCGGGGGUCACGGUCCAGCGGCGGCCUUCCUGUCGGGACUGAGCACGAGGCAAAAUCUCAAUGAAACCGUUUACAUUACGGGCACUUUGUGUUAACUGUGCUUUAAGAUAAUGUCUUCCUGGGAGCCCCUCUUAGUACAUGGAGGAAGUUAACAGCCAGUUGAGUUAAUGAAGGCAAAAUCACCCAGGCGCCACUAAUUAGAGGCAUCUAAUGAGGUUUGACCUGCUACCGCUUGUGCAUUAACUUGUUCAGGAUUACCGAGACGCAGUUUGUGGGUGAAGGGCAAAUCAGGUUUUCACCACCUGAAAAAUGUAAUUUUUCCCAAAUUAAAACCUUUAUAGGUAAUUUUAGUGUCUACAGUGCAUCAGACCUUGUUCAUUUCUAUUUGUUUUUUUUUUUUUUUUUUUUUUGCAUUUAUGAUUGGUAGUAAUAUAAAUUGCAACUGUGCCGCCUGACUUUUCCGACUCAUUUAAAAUUAAACAAGCAUCUACUACACCCAGACAAAUGUUUGUCCUUCAUAUCAAGUUUAUAUAUGCAAUUUUAAAAAAAGUUUUAUCAUGGGUUUUACCAAUGACAUGGAGGAGUUUUAUUUGUCAGUAUUUGAGAUUUUGAGAUGAACUAACCUUCCCAUGGCACCUUGAACUCGGGGUAUUUUUAUGAUGUAACAUCCUGUCCACUGUUUUCUGAAAUUACUUCAAAAUAAAAGCCCUAUUUUCCCCAGUUGUCCCACCUAACAAAAGGCUUUUCUGUUAUCUUAAUGGUUCUAAAUCCAUUAACUUUUUAGGAGUUUGACAGUUUCAACCAUAGGAUUACGUCUAAUUAAUUUAAUAUUUAAAUUACUUUACCAAAUUAAAUGGUUUUUUUGCUGUACACAAAUGAUCGCACCACUUGACAUAUCGUCAAAACUGUAUAUUAUUUGAAUGUAUUGAAAAUAUAUUCACAUUAAAGAUGUUUCAAACAAUAAUUUUAGGCAUGUCACAGAAUGUAUCUGGUAAAUGAUUUUUUAAAAACUAGGACUCAAAAUAUUCAUGUUCAUUCCUCUGCAUGCUGUACUGCGUCAUUAUUGCAGUGUAUUUUCUGCAUGAAGUACUGUGUGACUGUUGUGGUGUACUUUAUUCAAGCGGUACUGCAUUACUGUGGCAGUGUGCUUUCUUUCUGUGUAGGGCACUGCAUGACUGUCUCAGUGUACUUUUGUCUGUGUAGGGCACUGCAUGACUGUCUCAGUGUGCUUUUGUCUGUGUAGGGCACUGCAUGACUGUCUCAGUGUGCUUUUGUCUGUGUAGGGCACUGUGUGACUGUUGCAGUGUGCUGACCAUUCACUCUGCAGCCAGUCAUCAUGAUGGGUUUCAUCACCUAUUAGAGGUCAGAGUUUAAGUCUCUGCUUUUUUCCCUCUGGAAACCCUACUUUUACAGUUGAUCUUCCUCAGAGGAUCUUUGUUUGCUACCAUAAUAAUGUUUACAAAACCCACAUUUUCCCACCACUACCAUGAUCACAUAAUUAAUGCUUCCUUAAUCUGGGGCCUUUUUGUUUAGUAAGAUGCUUAAGAAAGCCCUUACUCGUUGGAAAUGGACCACCUUUUUCUGCGGCCGGGGUCACACGAGUGAGGAUCUUGAGGCUCAUGCUUCGUGUCUAUCGCCAGUGGAAACCCCGCGUCUGCUCUCCAUGUUGCUCGCUCCCUGGAGGUAAGCUCUGCAUGAGAAUGGCUCCGGUCGGUGGAGCCUUCUGUGGGUGUCUUACCGAAAUCCUGCAAUGGAAAAAAGGCUCUGUUUUGUUUGCCUGCUGACUCAGACGAAUGGCAUGCAGUCCUUACGUAGGCAGGCCACCGGGGAGAUGUGCACGACGAUCACGCAGAAGGACUUAAAAGCGUCUUUCUGCGGCUCGAUGCCGCUUCCCACGUUUGGGAGACUCCAAGUGACGCCUCUCGCUGUGUCAUCAAAGGGGUACGGACGGGGAAAAGGACACAGAGAGCUCGGGGGUGAAGAAGGCAGUGUGUCUGCUUUCUCUGGGACCGACUCUGUGUCCCUGUGACUCUGAGACUGGUAUUAGCAUCGGGGAAUGGGACACUGAGUUUUAGCUCUGAUCACAUCUACUCAACUGGGCUUCACUGCACAUAUUGGCACGUAAUAAGACUCCCCCAGAACCACGGUGUGGCAUACAGGUUGUAGGUAAAGUCACAAUGGGA